rnacentral:rRNA from 1 species
AGUGAACCAGUACCGUGAGGGAAAGGCGAAAAGAACCCCGGCGAGGGGAGUGAAAAAGAACCUGAAACCGUGUACGUACAAGCAGUGGGAGCCCCACCACUAAGCCAGUGGUGAACUCCACAUACGCAUCCUUUGCUGAGGAGACGGUUAACGGAGCGAAAGCGACGUUCAACCUCAAAAGAAGCAGAGGGGGCUUAGUGGUGGGGUGACUGCGUACCUUUUGUAUAAUGGGUCAGCGACUUAUAUUCUGUAGCAAGGUUAACUGUAUAGGGGAGCCGGAGGGAAACCGAGUCUUAACCGGGCGUUAAGUUGCAGGGUAUAGACCCGAAACCCGGUGAUCUAGCCAUGGGCAGGUUGAAGGUUGGGUAACACUAACUGGAGGACCGAACCGACUAAUGUUGAAAAAUUAGCGGAUGACCUGUGGCUGGGGGUGAAAGGCCAAUCAAACCGGGAGAUAGCUGGUUCUCCCCGAAAGCUAUUUAGGUUGCGCCUCGUGAAUUCAUCUCCGGGGGUAGAGCACUGUUUCGGCUAGGGGGCCAUCCCGGCUUACCAACCCGAUGCAAACUGCGAAUACCGGAGAAUGUU